rnacentral:rRNA from 1 species
GUGAGGAAUAUUGGUCAAUGGGCGGGAGCCUGAACCAGCCAAGUCGCGUGAAGGAAGAAGGAUCUAUGGUUCGUAAACUUCUUUUGCAGGGGAAUAAAGUGCAGGACGUGUCCUGUUUUGUAUGUACCCUGAGAAUAAGGAUCGGCUAACUCCGUGCCAGCAGCCGCGGUAAUACGGAGGAUCCGAGCGUUAUCCGGAUUUAUUGGGGUUAAAGGGUGCGUAGGUGGUUUGAUAAGUCAGCGGUGAAAGUUUGCAGCUUAACUGUAAAAAUGCCGUUGAAACUGUCGGACUUGAGUGUAAAUGAGGUAGGCGGAAUGCGUGGUGUAGCGGUGAAAUGCAUAGAUAUCACGCAGAACUCCGAUUGCGAAGGCAGCUUACUAAGCUACAACUGACACUGAAGCACGAAAGCGUGGGGAUCAAACAGGAUUAGAUACCCCGGUAGUCC